UACGUAGGGUGCAAGCAUUAUCCGGAUUUAUUGGGCGUAAAGCGUCCGUCGGCGUUUUAUCAAGUUCUGACUUUAAUACUGGAGCUUAACUCCAGCUACAGGUUGAAAUACUGAUAGAAUUGAGUUUACUAGGGGGAGCUGGAAUUCUCGGUGGAGGAGUGAAAUCCGUAGAUAUCGAGAGGAACACCAUUCGCGAAGGCGGGCUCCUGGAGUAUAACUGACGCUCAGGGACGAAAGUUUGGGUAGCAAAAGGGAUUAGAUACCCGGGUAGUCCCUGAGCGGG
rnacentral:rRNA from 1 species